GACGAACGCUGGCGGCGUGCUUAACACAUGCAAGUCGCACGGAAAGGCCCUGCUUUUGUGGGGUGCUCGAGUGGCGAACGGGUGAGUAACACGUGAGUAACCUGCCCUUGACUUUGGGAUAACUUCAGGAAACUGGGGCUAAUACCGGAUAGGAGCUCCUGCUGCAUGGUGGGGGUUGGAAAGUUUCGGCGGUUGGGGAUGGACUCGCGGCUUAUCAACUUGUUGGUGGGGUAGUGGCUUACCAAGGCUUUGACGGGUAGCCGGCCUGAGAGGGUGACCGGCCACAUUGGGACUGAGAUACGGCCCAGACUCCUACGGGAGGCAGCAGUGGGGAAUAUUGCACAAUGGGCGGAAGCCUGAUGCAGCAACGCCGCGUGCGGGAUGACGGCCUUCGGGUUGUAAACCGCUUUCGCCUGUGACGAAGCGUGAGUGACGGUAAUGGGUAAAGAAGCACCGGCUAACUACGUG
rnacentral:rRNA from 1 species